ACUCCUACGGGAGGCAGCAGUGGGGAAUAUUGGACAAUGGGCGAAAGCCUGAUCCAGCCAUGCCGCGUGUGUGAAGAAGGUCUUCGGAUUGUAAAGCACUUUAAGUUGGGAGGAAGGGCAGUAAGUUAAUACCUUGCUGUUUUGACGUUACCAACAGAAUAAGCACCGGCUAACUUCGUGCCAGCAGCCGCGGUAAUACGAAGGGGUGCAAGCGUUAAUCGGAAUUACUGGGGCGUAAAGCGCGCGUAGGUGGUUCAGCAAGUUGGAUGUGAAAUCCCCGGGGCUCAACCUGGGAACUGCAUCCAAAACUACUGAGCUAGAGUACGGUAGAGGGGGGUAGAAUUUCAGGUGUAGCGGUGAAAUGCGUAGAGAUCUGAAGGAAUACCAGUGGCGAAGGCGGCCCCUGGACAAAGACUGACGCUCAGAUGCGAAAGCGUGGGGAGCAAACAGGAUUAGAUACCCUGGUAGCUACGAG
rnacentral:rRNA from 1 species